rnacentral:rRNA from 1 species
GAGGUCCAGCCUGCCCAGUGACGUUCAACGGCCGCGGUAUUCUGACCGUGCGAAGGUAGCGUAAUCACUUGUUUUCUAAAUAAAGACUAGUAUGAAAGGCACCACGAGAGCUAAGCUGUCUCUUUUUUUUAAUCAGUGAACCUAAUCUCCCCGUGAAGAAGCGGGGAUUAAAAUAUAAGACGAGAAGACCCUGUGGAGCUUAAAACAAUAAAGUGUUUUUGGUUGGGGUGACCACGGAGAAAAACUUAUCCUCCAUAAUGAAAAAUAAGCUACAACUUUAUGCAUCAAAAAAUUGACAUCCUCGACCCAAUAAUUGAUCAAUGAACCAAGUUACCCCAGGGAUAACAGCACAAUCCACUUCGAGAGCCCCUAUCGACAAGUGGGCUUAUGACCUCGAUGUUGGAUCGGGAUAUCCUAGUGGUGCAGCCGCUACAAAGG